rnacentral:rRNA from 1 species
UACGUAGGGGGCAAGCGUUGUCCGGAUUUAUUGGGCGUAAAGAGCAUGUAGGCGGCCAUACAGGUCCGUUGUGAAAACUGGAGGCUUAACCUCCAGACGUCGAUGGAAACCGUAUGGCUAGAGUCCGGAAGAGGAGAGUGGAAUUCCUGGUGUAGCGGUGAAAUGCGCAGAUAUCAGGAAGAACACCCGUGGCGAAGGCGGCUCUCUGGGACGGUACUGACGCUGAGACGCGAAAGCGUGGGGAGCGAACAGG